rnacentral:rRNA from 1 species
GUGCAGCAGCGCGAAACCUCCGCAAUACACGAAAGUGUGACGGGGCCAUCCCGAGUGCCGUCCGCUGAGGACGGCUUUUCCCCAGUGUACAUAGCUGGGGGAAUAAGGAGAGGGCAAGCCUGGUGUCAGCCGCCGCGGUAAUACCAGCUCUCCGAGUGGUGGGGACGCUUAUUGGGCCUAAAGCAUCCGUAGCCGGCUGGGCAAGUCCUCCGUUAAAUCCAACGAUUCAAUCGUUGGGCUGCGGGGGAUACUGUCCAGCUUGGGGGCGGGAGAGGCCGGCGGUAUUCCCGGGGUAGGGGUGAAGGUCCUAUAAUCCCGGGAGGACCACCAGUGGCGAAGGCUGUCGGCUAGAACGCGCCCGACGGUGA